rnacentral:rRNA from 1 species
UGAAUACGAGACGCUAAGGCGUCGAAGUAGUGUAUGUCAUACUUCCAAGAAAAGCUUGCACUGUCAUAGAUAAAAAACGCCUGUACCAUAACCGACACAGGUGGGUAGGUAGAGUAUACUAAGGGGCGCGAGAUAACUCUCUCUAAGGAACUCGGCAAAAUAACUCCGUAACUUCGGGAGAAGGAGUGCCUUAUUCGUAAGGUUGCAAUAACAAGAUCCAAGCAACUGUUAAUCAAAAACACAGGUCUCCGCUAAGUCGUAAGACGAUGUAUGGGGGCUGACGCCUGCCCAGUGCCAGAAGGUUAAAGAAGUUGGUUAGCAAUUGCGAAGCUGAUAACUGAAGCCCUGGUGAACGGCGGCCGUAACAAUAACGGUCCUAAGGUAGCGAAAUUCCUUGUCGGGUAAGUUCCGACCCGCACGAAAGGCGUAAUGAUUUGGAUACUGUCUCGGAGAGGGGCUCGGUGAAAUAGACUUGUCUGUGAAGAUGCGGACUACCUGCACCAGGACAGAAAGACCCUAUGAAGCUUUACUGUAACUUGAAAUUGAAAUUGGACUUUAUUCGCGCAGUAUAGGUGGGAGGCGUUGAUUAUAAUCUUGUGGGAUUAUUGGAGCCAUCAGUGAGAUACCACUCUUGUAAUGUUAGAUUUCUAACUUUGAAUCAUUAUCUGGUCAAAGAACAGUUUCAGGCGGGCAGUUUGACUGGGGCGGUCGCCUCCUAAACGGUAACGGAGGCGUACAAAGGUUUCCUCUGAACGGUUAGAAAUCGUAUCUAGAGUGUAAAGGCAUAAGGAAGCUUGACUGUGAGACCUACAAGUCGAGCAGGGACGAAAGUCGGUCUUAGUGAUCUGACGGUACUGAGUGGAAAGGCCGUCACUCAACGGAUAAAAGUUACUCUAAGGAUAACAGGCUGAUCUCCCCCAAGAGUUCACAUCGACGGGGAGGUUUGGCACCUCGAUGUCGGCUCAUCGCAUCCUGGGGCGGUAGUACGUCCCAAGGGUUGGGCCGUUCGCCCAUGAAAGCGGUACGCGAGCUGGGUUCAGAACGUCGUGAGACAGUUCGGUCCAUAUCCGGUGUAGGCGUUAGAAUAUUGAGAGGAGCCUUCUUUAGUACGAGAGGACCGAGAAGGACAUACCUCUGGUGUACCAGUUAUCGUGCCAACGGUAAACGCUGGGUAGCUACGUAUGGAGUGGAUAACCGCUGAAAGCAUCUAAGUGGGAAGCCCACCUCAAGAUAAGUAUUCUCAUC